rnacentral:lncRNA from 1 species
GGUAUGAGGAGGUUGCUAUAGAAGCUGAGCCAAGGGAGCCCCUACCUCUGGCCUGGGGGCAAGAGGAACCAUUGAAGAAAAUUUGAAACCUCUGAAAUAGGCAGGGAUAAAAAGUGUCCCAGAGACAGUUACACUAUGUGAGAAGUAAAUGGGAGGUGAGAAAAUGGAACCAAGCUGGGUAAACAAGGCAUGGCCAGAGAAAUUCGCAGUGCUCCAGCCUGCUUUUCCACUGUAGGAAUCUCUUCCCUCUCCUGUGAAAAGGCCACGGAGGAGAGCUCAGGCCUUUCUCCAUCGCACUGUGUAAGAGCUUGGCAAUUGGACUCCCGGACAUCCCUCUCCUGGAUGCAAGAACAGAGAGGCAGCCUCAGCCCCGGCCGUUUGUUCAGCCCCCCAACUGUGUGUACAAGGUCUGUCCGAGGUGGUGCAUAUGCAGGCAGCAUGAAGUCCAGCUACUUCUCUCUCCAGCCUCCCCCAUCAUUGGCCUGCCACAGCGCCUGGGAAGAACUGAGAAAAGACUGUUAGACCUUGUUUAUUGAACAACGUGUUAUGAGAUAACUUUUAGGAUGUUUUGGGGCCAUUUCCUCAAUCUCUGUAAAAGUUUUUAUUUGUUAUUUUCCUUCUGGUACUUCCAUCUGGUACUAUUUACUUUUUAUCCUCCCACCUGUUAUCAUUUCUCUCACCCCUAAAACAUAACAAGACAUUUCUGAUAAUGUGUGAUGUUUAUCCUUUUAGUGAGAGGCAUUAGAUAGUAGAUAAAUAAGACGGGGAGUUUUAAAGUAGUUUUUCCUCAGUAUAAUUUAAAGCAGGAUUUUUUUUUUUUAAAUUUAUUUUUAGCUGCU